GCUUAUUUCGUUUCGGCGCUGCUGAGACAUCCUUUCGCGGAAUAUUACUCAAUGACAGGUGAGUUGACCAGUUGCCUUUGAUUCAUUUGCUUGUGUUGACUCUUUCAUUUACGAAAAGUGUGCUGAUUUUGGGCGGAAUGCAAUAAAUAAUGGAAAAGCUGACAGGAUCUCCUUUCUAAAUUUAGCUUUUCCGCUGCCUAGGCCUCCUUUUACGGAAUACUCAAUGACAGGUGAUCUCUGAGUUGACCAGUUUCCUUCGAUUCAUUUGCUUAUGCUCACCCUUUCAUUUACGGAAACGUGUGCUGAUUUCUCUUUGCCCUUGCCUACAGUGUGCGAAGAACGCGAGUUCACCUUCUUGACGAAAAUCGUGGACUAACAGUUUGAAGUCAUUGAACUACUUCCAAAAGUUGUAUCGACAUCAACAGGAUUA